UCAAGAGAGGGUUCCAUGAGCACUCUAGGUAGUCUCAUGCCUUCGGUGCCUUUCGGAGGUUCCUUUCUUUUUAAGUCCACCUGGCAAACUUCCUUUUUUGAGCUCAAUUAGCUGUGUCUAGCCUGACCUUUCUCUACCGCCUGCCUUCAUUCAUCAAAAGGGUCUUCAUGUGUGCCUACUAUAAAAUAGAUAUUGGUCAGUGAACACAUCAAUGAACAAUGAACAAGCCUGAUACGAUCUCUGCCUUCCUGGAAUUUCUAUUCCAAUGGGGAGGCGGGGAAUGAAGAAGCAUGUGAAUAAAGCAAUAAGGUGAUUGAUUGAUCACCACAGAUCAUGGUGAGUAUUGUGUAGGCCAUAAACUGGGCAAUGUGAAAGAACGCGGUCAUGGGAGGCCUCACUGGGGAGGUGACCACUGAACUGAAACCUGGAGGGUACUGCUAUAGACGGAAUGCUUCUGUCCCCUCCUCACCCCCGUCUCCCCCAAUUCCUAUGCUGAAGUCAUUAGCCUCAGUACCACUAGUUCCUAAUAGGAAGAUAUAAGCAGGUGGGGCCUUUGGGAAAGUGAUUAGGUCAUGAGUGUAGAGCCCUCACGAAUGGAAUUGGUGCCUUUAUAAGAAGACAUAUGAGAGAGGAUUUCCUUCGAAACCAUGUGAUACUGCAAGGUGUCUGUCUGCAAUCCAGGAAGUGGGAAUCUCACUAGAUACUGAAUCUGCUGGCACCUCGGGACUUCCAGCCUCCAAGAACCGGGAGAAAUAAAUUUCUGUCGUGUAAGCCAUUCAGUCUAUAGAAUUUUUGUUUGAGCAGCCCAGAAUGGAUUAAGAUAGAUAUGGGAGAGCCAGUCCUAGAAAGAGCCAGAGGGUCUUUCAGGCAGAGGGAAUCAACAAGAGCAGAAGCCUCGGGGUGGAAAGGGGUGAGCUGGUAGAAGAAGAAAAAGGGGUGUAACAUGGCUGGAGUGGAGAGAGCUGGGGAAGGUCAUUUGAAUGCAUAAAGGGACCCGAUUAUGUAAGGACUAGGAGGCCAGGUGGCAGGGUAGAGGUGGGACAGGCAGCGGGGAGACAUCUCUGGAAGGUAAAUAAGCUGAUGGGCUGAAUGUGGUGAGAGGAAAGAACACAUCAGGAUUGCUUCUUUGGGAUGAACAGCCAGGUGGAUGCAGUACCAUUAUCUAGAAGAGAACAAUAGUUAGUGGAGAGAUGGGGUGGGAGGUGAUGUGGGGUUGGGGAGUGGAGAAUUGGCCGGAAAACAAAGAGAGUGGCAUCCAGGAAGCCCCGGGAGAAAGUGUUUCAAGAAGUUGGAAACAGUCAACUGGAUAAAGUGCUGCUGAGAGAUGGACACUGGGAAGUCAUUAGCCUCAGUACCACUCCUUCCAGGGUCCUCAAAGCUCAGCUAAGGGGUGCCUUAGGAACAGGAGAGGUUGUGUGGGGAGUUCCAGAUUGAAAAUAACCCUGGGAAGGAACCACCCCAUGGUGCUAUCAGUGGAGAGAUCAGCUGCCAGAUGCCAGGGUGAGAUGGGAGGGCCCGGUACUGCUCCCUGAAGAGCCCUGCCCAGAAGCGGGGUGUAACAAGGUCCUCUCCGCCCCGCAGGAUGAAAAGCGUUCUGUCUUCGCGGAGCUAGAAAGGGUGUUCACGAUAAGGCAGGGUGGGAGCCUGACUCACGACACACCAUUAACCGGCUUUUGUCUUUGGAUCUGACUGGAAGUGACUCAUGGGCUGGAAAAAAACCUUUUGGAAACAAACGAGGAGGGAAAAAAAGAUUAGGUCACCACAGCACUUUAUUCUUAGAUAAAUUGUGGAUCUGCUGUCCCAUAAACGUUGAAUACUGUACAUUACUUCAGCAGCUUCUCUCCAACAAAAUACCAGAGGGGAAUUAUUAAGCCUGACAAUUCACUGAUUUUCUCCAAGACUUUUAUUAAAUGCAACUUAAAGGGGAUAAAGUUUCUUCUCUUUCCUCCUUCUAGUCACUUGAAUAAGCCCUCAUUACCACGAGGGCAAGAAUAAAUGGGCUUCCAGAAUACAGCAGCAAAAGGUAAUGUUUCCCCUUUAAAUUAACCAGUUGCAGGCUCCUGAUGCAGCCGACAGGGCACUUCCUGUCCCCUGACCUUGCUAAGUUUGAAGGGCAUUUGUGGAGCACCUUGCUAGGAGGCACCCUGACAGUGCUCUGCACUCUUGGGCUCACAGUUGGGGUGGGAGCUAGUCUUGAAAUCCACUAAGAUAGAUUUCACAUUAGAUGAAUACAUGCUAUGUUGGCAAAUUCAUUAGAACUUUUUUGGUUGCAAGUAAACAAUAGGAAUUUGUUGUAAAAAAAAAAAAUACUAGACUGG